GCUAUAGUUCAGAAGAAGAGGCAAGAGAAACAGACAAGUAUAUUUGGGGACAAUGCAGGAGGCAGAGAGACUAACCAGAACUCCUCUAAAACAAAAGGCCUCUUCAGGAGCCACUAUGUUCCGGGUUUAAGACUGCAGUUUUCUUUGAAUUCUUGCUCUACUAUCACUGGUGUACCAUCUUCAACAAGAACCCGUUGGGGAACAAGAAUCCGUUACUGAUCUUCACUGCACCUGUAUCAUAAGGAAGCAUUUACAACAAGUGGAAUAAUUUUAAGAUAUUGUCUUUCUCACCUAAGAAUUUCAUGGUUUAAAAAGAUAAUUGUUGGGGCUGGGGCUGUAGCUCAGUGGUAUAGUGCUUGCCUAGCAUGAGUGAGACACUGGGUUUGAUACUCAGCACCACAUUAAAAAAUAAAUAAAUAAAGUUAUAAAAAAUGUAUAUUUCAAAAAGCAAUUGUUCAGAAUCAAGUAUUGAGCUUCAAUAGCAGGAGGAAGAAAUCUUCAAUUGGAAAGAAUACAAAUUAUUUUUAUGACAUUACAUUUGAUCUGUUAAAAUUUCAUCAUGCACUUCAAAACCAAAUGUGUCUUUGCCUUGUGGUUCCCUCAUAUGUCUAUUUUCAUAAUCACUCAGAAAUUAUUUAGAAAACUAGCAUAAAUACUUAAUAACAGAGUAUUUAGUGGUGAAGGCAUUCCAUAAGAAGUACAUUUUUGUUUUCAUCAGUCAUGUUUUAUAGAAACUUUAAAAAAAUUAAGAAAUUUAUAAAUUAAAGUACUUCUGACUUCAGUAGGUCUGAAAACUAAAACCUUAAUAUAUCUGUUAGAAGCCACACAACAUUUGUUAUUAUGGGAAAAUCCUGUGGAUAGUACCCAGUUCCUCUCUCCAGUGAAACAGGAAAUAUAAUUUGGUCAAGAAAAAAUAAUAAGGCAAACUACUACUGAUGAAAACAGUUUUAUAAUACAGAAAAAUCUGCAUUCAUCAAGAUGAAGAAGCAUCCAGUGAUAUAGCCCAUAUUUUAUUUCCUUUGGGAGAAGUUUUAAGAUUAUAAAAUAGAUACUUAAAUAAUGUACAAUUUUAAAAUUCAGUACUGACCAAUGUCUAUUACAUCAAAC